rnacentral:rRNA from 1 species
GGUUUACCUUGAAUAAAUCAGAGUGCUCAAAACAAGUGUUUGCUUGAAUAGCUCAUCAUGGAAUAAUGAAACAGGACUUCGGUUCUUUUUGUUGGUUCUAGAACUGAUUUAAUGGUUAAGAGGGACAAACCGGGGGCAUUCGUAUCAUUACGCGAGAGGUGAAAUUCGUGGACCGUAGUGAGACGCCCAACAGCGAAAGCAUUUGCCAAGAAUGUCUUCAUUAAUCAAGAACGAAAGUCAGAGGUUCGAAGGCGAUUAGAUACCGCCCUAGUUCUGACCGUAAACGAUGCCAUCUCGCGAUUCGGAGGGUUUUUGCCCUGCCGAGGAGCUAUCCGGAAACGAAAGUCUUUCGGUUCCGGGGGUAGUAUGGUUGCAAAGCUGAAACUUAAAGAAAUUGACGGAAGGGCACCACAAGGCGUGGAGCUUGCGGCUUAAUUUGACUCAACACGGGAAAACUCACCCGGUCCGGACACCAUUAGGACUGACAGAUUGAAAGCUCUUUCUCGAUUUGGUGGUUGGUGGUGCAUGGCCGUUCUUAGUUGGUGGAGUGAUUUGUCUGGUUUAUUCCGAUAACGAGCGAGACUCUAGCCUGCUAAAUAGUUGGCGAAUCUUCGGGUUCGUAUAACUUCUUAGAGGGAUAAGCGGUGUUUAGCCGCACGAGAUUGAGCGAUAACAGGUCUGUGAUGCCCUUAGAUGUCCGGGGCUGCACGCGUGCUACACUGGUGGACUCAGCGGGUUUUUCCUAUGCCGAAAGGUAUCGGUAAACCGUUGAAAUUCUUCCAUGUCCGGGAUAGGGUAUUGUAAUUAUUGCCCUUAAACGAGGAAUGCCUAGUAAGUGUGAGUCAUCAGCUCACGUUGAUUACGUCCCUGCCCUUUGUACACACCGCCCGUCGCUAUCCGGGACUGAACUGAUUCGAGAAGAGUGGGGACUGUCGCUUCGAGGUUUAACGACUUCGUUGUUGCGGAAACCAUUUUUAUCGCAUUGGUUUGAACCGGGUAAAAGUCGUAACAAGGUAGCUGUAGGUGAACCUGCAGCUG